rnacentral:ribozyme from 1 species
AUAAAUUCUGGUUUUUUGUACUGAGCUUGCUCAUUUUGGAAUAAAAAUUUAAUCAAGCAAACGAAAAAAAAAAAA